UCCUGGCUGGCUCAGUCGGUAGAGCGUGGGACUCUUGAUCUUGGGGUUGUGAGUUUGAGCCCCAUGUUGGGUG
rnacentral:tRNA from 1 species